ensembl:snoRNA SNORD116 Small nucleolar RNA SNORD116
GGAUCGAUGAUGACCCCCACUAAUGCAUUCCUUGGAAAUCUGAACCAAAUGAGUGAGAAACCACUACCGUCUCCUCAUUGGAACUGAGGUCC